AUCCGCGAUCAGCCUUGGUGCUGCUCGUCAGUCGCAAUCCGGGUCAGUGAUCUGAUCAAUGACAAGGACGUAAGUUCGGCAAAACGUCGCCGAUCAUCACCACCCGCUCGUUGCCGCUGAUCGCGCUCAGCGCUGCGCCGGCCCCCAGUAGCCCAACUCGCGACGGAUCUGCAACCC
rnacentral:antisense_RNA from 1 species